rnacentral:lncRNA from 11 species
CUGACCUAACAUCUCUCUCACAGCAUUGGGCAGUUCUGUGCUCUGCUGCAAUGCUUUCAUAUAAAAUUGCUUUCUUUCUUGGAACACAGACACUUGAAUCAGAACAAUUGCUAUUGUGGAAGAAGAUGGCUGAGUAUGACAAGAAGCAAAACAGUGGACUUCUUUAGCCACACAUUCAUCCAAUAAGAGCUGGUGCCCCUACCUCCCUGGCUGGUGGAGCAGAAGACACCAAAGGUUGUCACUUAGGUCUAAGGUUGACUCAUUCUUGACCCUUGUAGAAACAUGAUAUUUGUGGUGGGGAUUGGAUUUUUCACACUCUGCUUCUUAAUGACAUCUCUGGGAGGGCAGUUUUCAGCCAAAAGACUGGGAGAUUCUCCAUUCACCAUCAGGACUGAAGGUAGGUAACAUUAUCAUAGAUUUAACUACAUUUUCCAGAUGGAAAAGCCAGGGAAGAGCUUUUGU